CGCGCGGGCGGGGCGCGGGUUCCCGGGAGGAUCCGGGCGCGGGGAAAGCGGAGCGUCCGGGACGCGGCGGGACUCGAGUGUUUCGGAAAAGGAGCGUCUCCCCAGGCGGUGGUUGUCUUCACUAGCGAUGGGGUAAAAGGAGGACGCAAUACCUGGUUCAACUUGAGCAGGAAUGAGCAUCUCUAGCCUCUGCCUGUUCAUCUGGGACAAUCUGCACCUGGGCGUGGACCUGCUGCUUCAGAUCAGUAGGUAUCAGAAUGAACUCAGUUGGAUGGGGCAGUUCAGGACCCCUGGCCUCCUUUUAGUCUGGACCCCACUCUCAUUCCUCAUAUUCUCAAUUCACUCUUUCUACUGAGUUACUAUCCUAGUAAUGACAAUGCCUCCUAUCAUCUAGAGACUUGGUUUGAUACAAUGCAUUCACAUACAACUGCUCGUUUUGAUUUCUAUAACUGGGGAAUACAGAAAGCAAAUAUGCGGUGCAAUGGAGGAUGUCUCCAUUACCCCAGAUAACUCCAAAAUUCUUCACCUAGUUACCAGUGCAGGAAAUUCGUUCGAAGGCAGAAAUGGAAAAUGAAUAAGAAACAAUUUGGAUGUGUUCCAAAAAUGGAGAGUUGUCAGGCACUAUAUCAUACAACCUGAAAUAUCAAUGGUGAAGUAGACAGUUCACCUCCACAGGGGGCAGGAGGUUGGACCCAGGGCAAUGGAUGUUUUAUAUGGAUGGUUAACCGGUCUGUGGCCAUGAGGUGGAAAGCUGUGUACACCUGUGAAGCCAUCAUCACAAUCAAGUUAGGGAACAUAUCCAUCACCCAAAAAAGUGUUCUCAUGCCCUUUGGUAAUUCCUCCCUCCUAAAUGUCCCCACCCUACCCCACAUCCCAGUUUCUAUGCAAAAACCGCUGACCAACUUUCUAUCACUAUAGAUUUGUUUGUAUUUUCUAGACUUUUAUAUAAAAAGAAUUAUACUGUAUGUACACUUUUUUGUCUGUUUUUUUCACUUAACAUAUUUAUUUUCAGAAUCAUCUAUCUUGUUGCAGGUGUAUUCCUUUUUAUUGCUCAGUAGUAUUCCACUGUAUGGAUAUAACACAAUUUGUUUAUCAUUCACCUGUUGAGGGACAUUAUACUUGCUUCUAAAUUUUUACUAUCACAAAUAAAGCUGCUGUAGGCAUUCAUGUGUGUGUCCAUCGUGUGGACAUUGUGUGCACACGUGCUUCCAUUUCUCUUGGGGAAAUAUCUAGGAGCAGAGUGUCUGGAUCCCAUAGUAGGUAUUUGUUUAACUUUUUAAACUGUUUUUCAAAGUGGUUAUACUGUUUUUCAUUUUCACCAUCAAUGCAUGAGGGUCCCAGUUGCUCCACAUCCCCACCCAUACUUUCUGUGGUCACUUUAAAAAUUUUUAGCCGC
rnacentral:lncRNA from 1 species